GUAAUUACACUCUGUCGUGUACUUGUGUUGACAUGAAGUAAAAUUGUAUCUGAUUGAGUUCAUGUUUGUUACUCAGCAUUAAAAUGAACGUAUGUUUAACAUACUGUCACUCAUGCGUCAUAACUGACGUAAAGCUUGCUGCGCUGUAUAAGAGUUAGAGCAGUCUCUUCUAGUUAUAUGAUGGGAAGAGGUACAAGGAUCUCAGUCUACGAUGGGUUGUCAGAAGGUUACACGACAGCUUGUAGUAACCCCGGCAUAAGAUGAGGUUUGAGGAGGUGAGGCGCACGUAUACCUCCCUCCCCCGCUACCCACAGGACCUGCCUGCCUCCACGUCAAUACUCAGCAUGGCUACGCACCCUUUGACCCUUCACCGCCAUCCCCUCGCUGCUCUUCCCUAGUCUCCCCUCCUCCCCUUUCACCACAGUUUGCUGACUUCCGCUACGUUAGUUGCAGUAUUGCAACUUCAGCUUUGACUAUGGAUGCCACCUGAUGUGUGGAAUUAUUAGGCUGUCCUGUCAUCACCUGCGAUAAUAAUGAAUAGAAUAUUUCCUUUUUCCAGUAUACACAGUGCAUACAGGCUGUGUGGUGGUUAAGUGAGGGAAGGAUGAGGCUGCCAUGUGGCUGUAUUAUCACGUGAGGCUCAUGAGGUCACUCACGUGGCUGUAUUAUCACGUGAGGCUCAUGAGGUCACUCACGUGGCUGUAUCAUCACGUGAGGCUCAUGAGGUCACCACGUGGCUGUAUCAUCACGUGAGGCUCAUGAGGUCACCACGUGGCUGUAUCAUCACGUGAGGCUCAUGAGGUCACCACGUGGCUGUAUCAUCACGUGAGGCUCAUGAGGUCACUCACGUGGCUGUAUCAUCACGUGAGGCUCAUGAGGUCACCACGUGGCUGUAUCAUCACGUGAGGCUCAUGAGGUCACCACGUGGCUGUAUCAUCACGUGAGGCUCAUGAGGUCAUCACGUGGCUGUGUCAUCACGUGAGGCUCAUGAGGUCACCACGUGGCUGUAUCAUCACGUGAGGCUCAUGAGGUCACCACGUGGCUGUAUCAUCACGUGAGGCUCAUGAGGUCACCACGUGGCUGUAUCAUCACGUGAGGCUCACGAGGUUACCA